rnacentral:rRNA from 1 species
GACAGAAGGGGCAAGCGUUGCUCGGAAUUACUGGGCGUAAAGGGCGCGUAGGCGGGAUGGCAAGUCGGUCGUGAAAUCCCUCGGCUCAACCGAGGAACGUCGAUCGAUACUGCUGUUCUUGAGGAUUGCAGAGGAGACUGGAAUUCCCGGUGUAGCGGUGAAAUGUGUAGAGAUCGGGAGGAACACCGGUGGCGAAGGCGGGUCUCUGGGCAAUUCCUGACGCUGAGGCGCGAAAGCUAGGGGAGCAAACGGG